GUAGUCUGUAUGUGAAGGUGUGCUGCAAAAUGAUUAUGCUCUCCUGACAAGAGGCUUUACAGACGGCAACAACGGCAAAAGUUAGGAUGACAUUACGAAAGGUCUCGUUUUGCAUCGUUAUUCUCCUAGUCAUAUGGAACUGUCUUAAGUAUGAGGGACACAGAGAGUUUCUAAAUGGCUUCUUUGAGGAGUUAAUGAGUGCAGAAGAAUCCAGCAUUCAUCUAAGAAAAAAAAGAGAAACUUCAUCAAAUUCCACUGAGUAUGAGCUUCAAGCUGUUAUAAGCGUCUCAAAUCUGGAACAAUUCCAGUCGAUACUGAACACCCUCAGUUUUCCUUUAUCGAUCAACGCCACUGGUGAAAUUACAAGCAUUAAUACAACAACAGUGUGUUCACCAAAAAAAACUGCAAACAUAACUGAAUACCAGUGCACAUGUGAGGAGAGCUUUGCUUGGUCAUAUAACAAAUGCAUUAACUAUGAGGCCUGUGAUGCCAUCGUUGGUGAUACAUGUGGAUGCAUUAAUGGACUUCCAGCAGAUGGGCAAUAUUGCCAGUUAAAAACCAGCAACCCAGUGCCAGUGGAGUAUGAUAUAAACUUUAACUUGCUCUUGCCAGUAUCCAGUCUGCCCCCAAAUUUCAUUGAUCUGUUCAGAGACUAUGUGGGAAAUUUGUCAUUCCCCCAAACCUUCACUCAGUCUUUAAUAAUAGAAGACUUGAACUUCACCACAUGGUGCUAUCCAAACUCUACCGGAGGAAUGCAGUGUCAGUGUGAGGACCACUUUGGUUGGUCAUGUGACAAGUGUGGCCUAUACGGUGCAUGCAGUAAUGUUACCUCACAAACCUGUGGGUGCAUCAAAAAGCUUCCUCCUGGUGGAGAGUUCUGUGAACCAAUCACAAGUAUUCCUCCAUGUCCAACUCCAACUCCUGAGCCAGUGGAAAUAGUCGUUGACAUUGAAAUUCCAGUAUCCAGUGUGCUCCCAAAUUUCAAUGAUGAAAUAAGACACGCUUUGCAAAAUUUGUCCUUCCCAUAUCUCAUCACUCAGUCUUUAAUAAUAGAGGACCUAAAUUUCACCACAUGGUGCUAUCCAAACUCCACUGGAGGACUCCAGUGUCAGUGUGAGGACCAGUUUGCUUGGUCAUGUAACAAGUGUGAUGAGUACGGCGCAUGCAGUAAUGUCACCUCCCAAACCUGUGAUUGCAUAAAGGGAUUUCCUCUGAGUGGGGAGUUCUGUCAACCAAUCACAGGCGUCGCUCCUUGCCCAACACCAACUCCUGCACCAGUGGACUUUGAUAUAGACCUUGAACUGCACAUCCCAGCAUCUAGUGUGCCCCAAAAUUUCAGUGUUGUGCUCAGAAAUAUUCUGAGAAAUUUCUCCUUCCCCAAAAUCAUCACUGGGUCUUUAACACUGAAAGACUUGAACUUCACCACAUGGUGCUAUCCAAACUCCACUGGAGGACACCAGUGUCAGUGUGAAGACCAGUUUGCUUGGUCAUGUGGCAAGUGUGAUAAGUACGGCGCAUGCAGUAAUGUCACCUCACAAACCUGUGAUUGCAUAAAGGGAUUUCCUCUGAGUGGGGAGUUCUGUCAACCAAUCACAGGCGUCGCUCCUUGCCCAACACCACCUCCUGCACCAGUGGACUUUGAUAUAGACCUUGAACUGCACAUCCCAGCAUCUAGUGUGCCCCAAAAUUUCAGUGUUGUGCUCAGAAAUAUUCUGAGAAAUUUCUCCUUCCCCAAAAUCAUCACUGGGUCUUUAACACUGAAAGACUUGAACUUCACCACAUGGUGCUAUCCAAACUCCACUGGAGGACACCAGUGUCAGUGUGAAGACCAGUUUGCUUGGUCAUGUGGCAAGUGUGAUAAGUACGGCGCAUGCAGUAAUGUCACCUCACAAACCUGUGAUUGCAUAAAGGGAUUUCCUCUGAGUGGGGAGUUCUGUCAACCAAUCACAGGCGUCGCUCCUUGCCCAACACCACCUCCUGCACCAGUGGACUUUGAUAUAGACCUUGAACUGCACAUCCCAGCAUCUAGUGUGCCCCAAAAUUUCAGUGUUGUGCUCAGAAAUAUUCUGAGAAAUUUCUCCUUCCCCAAAAUCAUCACUGGGUCUUUAACACUGAAAGACUUGAACUUCACCACAUGGUGCUAUCCAAACUCCACUGGAGGACACCAGUGUCAGUGUGAAGACCAGUUUGCUUGGUCAUGUGGCAAGUGUGAUAAGUACGGCGCAUGCAGUAAUGUCACCUCACAAACCUGUGAUUGCAUAAAGGGAUUUCCUCUGAGUGGGGAGUUCUGUCAACCAAUCACAGGCGUCGCUCCUUGCCCAACACCACCUCCUGCACCAGUGGACUUUGAUAUAGACCUUGAACUGCACAUCCCAGCAUCUAGUGUGCCCCAAAAUUUCAGUGUUGUGCUCAGAAAUAUUCUGAGAAAUUUCUCCUUCCCCAAAUCAUCACUGGGUCUUUAA